AAGACUAUACUUUCAGGGAUCAUUUCUAUAGUUCCUAACUUGAGAAAUGUGUUUCUAAAGUGAUCGGUCUCGCUACCCACGAUGAUGAGUCACGAUAUCCCCUUCUGAGCGCGAAGCGGGCAAAGAAUAAUGAUUCAGUUCAUACGUUCUUUGCCAUUGAUGACCGUUCUUUGCUUCUCUGCGGAGCAUUGAGGAAGGGGAUAUGAUCAGAGUGGUA
ensembl:snoRNA small nucleolar RNA U3